rfam:Myotis davidii contig51620, whole genome shotgun sequence.
UCUGGGGGGAUGUGGGGGUCUCUCAGCCCAGAUUGUGAGAGGGCACAGGCCAGGCUGAGGGACCCCACCAGUGCAUG